rnacentral:rRNA from 1 species
GAUGAGCGCUGGCGGCGUGCCUAAUACAUGCAAGUCGAGCGAACGGACGAGAAGAUUGCUUCUCUGAUGUUAGCGGCGGACGGGUGAGUAACACGUGGAUAACCUACCUAUAAGACUGGGAUAACUUCGGGAAACCGGAGCUAAUACCGGAUAAUAUUUUGAACCGCAUGGUUCAAAAGUGAAAGACGGUCUUUCUGUCACUUAUAGAUGGAUCCGCGCUGCAUUAGCUAGUUGGUAAGGUAACGGCUUACCAAGGCAACGAUGCAUAGCCGACCUGAGAGGGUGAUCGGCCACACUGGAACUGAGACACGGUCCAGACUCCUACGGGAGGCAGCAGUAGGGAAUCUUCCGCAAAGGGCGAAAGCCUGACGGAGCAACGCCGCGUGAGUGAUGAAGGUCUUCGGAUCGUAAAACUCUGUUAUUAGGGAAGAACAUAUGUGUAAGUAACUGUGCACAUCUUGACGGUACCUAAUCAGAAAGCCACGGCUAACUACGUG